AGAGUUUGAUCAUGGCUCAGAACGAACGUUGGCGGUCUGGAUUAGGCAUGCAAGUUGAGCGAACCCAGCAAUGGGGAGCAGCGUAAGGGGCAGUAAGGCAUAGGUACCUACCCCGGGGUCGGGCAUAGCCUGUAGAGAUACAGGGUAAUUCCCGAUGACCUCGUGAGAGCAAAGAUUCAUCGCCCUGGGAGGGGCCUAUGUGAUAUUAGCUAGUUGGUGGGGUAACGGCCCACCAAGGCGAAGAUGUCUAGCGGGUGUGAGAGCACGACCCGCGCCACUGGCACUGAGACACUGGCCAGACACCUACGGGUGGCUGCAGUCGAGGAUCUUCGGCAAUGGGCGAAAGCCUGACCGAGCGAGACCGCGUGUGCGAUGAGGGCCUUCGGGUUGUAAAGCACUGUCGAGGGGGAGAAAAGGCAACUUGAUCUAUCCCUGGAGGAAGCUCGGGCUAAGUUCGUGCCAGCAGCCGCGGUAAGACGAACCGAGCGAACGUUGUUCGGAAUCACUGGGCUUAAAGGGCGCGUAGGCGGGCUAUCAAGUCCGGGGUGAAAUCCUCCAGCUUAACUGGAGAACGGCCUCGGAUACUGAUGGUCUCGAGGAAGAUAGGGGCACGCGGAACUGUGGGUGGAGCGGUGAAAUGCGUUGAUAUCCAUAGGAACUCCGGUGGCGAAGGCGGCGUGCUGGAUCUUUUCUGACGCUGAGGCGCGAAAGCCAGGGGAGCAAACGGGAUUAGAUACCCUGGUAGUCC
rnacentral:rRNA from 1 species